UUACGGUCAAAUCACGCUAAAAACACCGGUUCUCGUUCGAUCACCGAAGUUAAGCAUCGUAGAGCCAGGUCAGUACUUAGAUGGGGGACCGCUUGGGAACACCUGGUACUGUAAG
rnacentral:rRNA from 1 species